CGUACACUCCUACGGGAGGCAGCAGUGGGGAAUAUUGGACAAUGGGCGCAAGCCUGAUCCAGCCAUGCCGCGUGAGUGAUGAAGGCCCUAGGGUUGUAAAGCUCUUUCACCGGUGAAGAUAAUGACGGUAACCGGAGAAGAAGCCCCGGCUAACUUCGUGCCAGCAGCCGCGGUAAUACGAAGGGGGCUAGCGUUGUUCGGAUUUACUGGGCGUAAAGCGCACGUAGGCGGACUAUUAAGUCAGGGGUGAAAUCCCGGGGCUCAACCCCGGAACUGCCUUUGAUACUGGUAGUCUUGAGUUCGAGAGAGGUGAGUGGAAUUCCGAGUGUAGAGGUGAAAUUCGUAGAUAUUCGGAGGAACACCAGUGGCGAAGGCGGCUCACUGGCUCGAUACUGACGCUGAGGUGCGAAAGCGUGGGGAGCAAACAGGAUUAGAUACCCGAGUAGUCCAUG
rnacentral:rRNA from 1 species